CUAGAGAGCUGGCGUACCUCCUGGGCCUGACGUGGGCUUCCCGGAUUGCAUAAAGGCUCCUUCUCCUUACAUAGCCAGGGCAAAGGUGCAUGACAACCCUGCGCAAGUCAAAACAACCGUCAGCGGCGGGAAACCUCGAUGAACAAACACCGGGAGAGUGGUGCCGCAGACCCCUGGGAGGCACCAGCACCCUGGAUCGAGAAGCCCGAUGUGAAAGAAUGUCUGGGAAGGAUGUCAUGCCGGAGGCUUGCGUGACAGUUUCCACUUACAGUGCGCUCACUCUGAACCUCCAUGCUCACGAUGGGCCUGCAUCUCUUCCCACUAUCUGCUAGGAAACACGAGGGGAAGGAAAUGACCGCAGAAAGGAGUGUAGCGUGGGGGCAGGUGGUGCUGCGGCCAAUGGGCAGUGCUGGGAGAUGAAACCAACAGCGGCGAUUGCCCCAGAAAGAACUCGGCGCUGCUAAGGCAAUGGCGGCCCGAAGGAGGCCCCUGACGCAUGAGGAGCGGCCGC
rnacentral:lncRNA from 1 species